CAAAUUCAGAAGCAUGAUUGGGGCUUCCGGGCUCUGAUUAAGUCAGAAAUUAACUGGGCUCUAGAAGUAACUUCCUUGGAGGCCACACUUAGAUAACCACAUGGAAGAUGAUUCCAGCAUCACUGCGCAUGCCUUCCUUCUUCUACCUUUGCGGGAGUCUUUAACAUGCAAGGGGGUCAAUUAUUGCUAAGGGAAAUAAGAAGAAAAUAGAGCAGAAAAAUAAAGA
rnacentral:lncRNA from 1 species